AUUGAACGCUGGCGGCAGGCCUAACACAUGCAAGUCGAGCGAGCGGCGGACGGGUGAGAGUUGUCUGGGAACCAGCCUGAUGGCGGGGGAUCACAACUGUAAACGGUAGCUAAUACCGCAUACCCUCAGCUGUGCACAGAUGGGAUUAGCUAGUGGGUGGGGUAAUGGCUCACCUAGGGGACGAUCCCUAGCUGGUCUGAGAGGAUGACCAGCACAAUGGGAACGGGGCCACGGCCAAGACUCCUACGGGAGGAAGAAGUGGGGAAUUUUGGAAAAGGAGGACAAGCCUGAUGCGGCCAGGCCGGGUGGUUGAAGAAGGCCUUCGGGUUGUAAAGCACUUUAAGCGGGGAGGCGUUACCCGCAGAGGAAGCACCGGCUAACUCCGUGCCAGCCGCCGCGGUAAUUC
rnacentral:rRNA from 1 species